AGAAAGUAAAAUCACAGUGUUUGUGUGAGUAAAGAGUUCCACUGAAAUUCUCUGUUCUCUUCACAGGAACAUCGCUACCAUUGCUGUGUUCUACGCACUGCCAGUGGUCCAGUUGGUCAUCACCUAUCAAACGGUGGUCAAUGUCACAGGGAACCAGGAUAUCUGCUUUUACAACUUCCUGUGCGCCCACCCCCUGGGAGCACUCAGUGCUUUCAACAACAUCCUCAGUAAUCUUGGUUACGUGAUGCUGGGACUCCUAUUUCUACUCAUUGUCCUCAGGAGAGACAUUGUCCACAACCGAGCUCUGGUCCGCAACGAACUUAAUGCUGUGGUAAGACAUGAAAACACAAACG